rnacentral:rRNA from 1 species
UUUGUUUUUUAAUUAAAAACUAGAAUGAAAGAUUUUACAUUUUAAUUUCUUUAUUAAAUAUAAUAUAUUAACUUAUAUUAAAUAUAAAAAUAUAUUUAUAAAAUAAAAAGACGACAAGACCCUAUUAAAUUUUACUUAUUGUUUAGCUGGGGCAGCUUUUUAAAUAAAACUUUAAAAUUUAUAAUAUAAUAAUAUAUCUAUACUAAAAUUAAAAAAUCUAUUAUAAAUAAAUUAAUCUAAUUACUAUAGGGAUAACAGCGUUAUAUUUUUUUCAAGUUCAUAUUUAAAAAAAUCAUUGCGACCUCGAUGUUGAAUUAUAUUUCUUUA